AUGUUAUCAAGAAAGGUGGAGGGAUUAGACCCUGUGAAACCUUAGCAACCCUAUGUGUAAACAAAGAAGGUGCUAAAUUCUACUUAAAAAUUGUAGUAAAUUUAAUUUUUAAGAGAGAUAACGG
rnacentral:ncRNA from 1 species